GCGGCUGCCGGGCGCGCUGGCCGCCUGGGCGCGGCGCUGCGGCUACGAGCCCGUAGCGCUGGCGGAGCGUGCCGAGCCCGCCGCGGACUCGCCGCCCGACGCCGUGGGCGUGCAGCGCGUGCGCGACGCGUUGCAUGCGCACGCGUGGCGCGGCCUGCAGCACGCGCACACAGGUGUGGGGGAGGCGGAGGCGGAGGGCGCGGUGGAGCGCGCGGAGGCGUUCGCGGCGGCGCUGGGCGCGCUGGCGGCCGCGCGCGACGCGCCGCCCGCCGACGACGCCGAGCGGCGGCGCCGCGCCGAGCGCGUCGUGGCCGCCUUCUGCCGCGCGCUGGGCGCCGAGCCGCCGCUGCUGUGAGGAGGGCGCGGCCGGGAAGACGAAUCAAACGACGCACCAAAAAUGCAUAUUUAUUUAUUAAAACGAUAAAAAGUCGGAUAUGUGCGGCCGCAGCGCGCGUGUAAAUACUCUAGGGGGCGGCGGCCCGCUCCCGGAUCACAGAUUGUGCAUUAUUAUCUCUUCGGACGAAAGCGUCUCCGACGCGUACAAUAAAGUGCUACCCCAGCGACGAUGUUUGCUUGUCCCCUCUCCUGUCCCGCUCCCGCGCAGGGGAGCGGCGACGCUGUAGCUCCUGUCCCGCUCCCGCGCAGGGGAGCGGCGGCGCUGUAGCUCCUGUCCCGCUCCCGCGCAGGGGAGCGGCGACGCUGUAGCUCCUGUCCCGCUCCCGCGCAGGGGAGCGGCGGCGCUGUAGCUCCUGUCCCGCUCCCGCGCAGGGGAGCGGCGGCGCUGUAGCUCCUGUCCCGCUCCCGCGCAGGGGAGCGGCGGCGCUGUAGCUCUCUUACAAAUAAAUAACGAUAUAAUAUUCUAUUAACAGUAAAUGCUCCCCGAUGAGGCGUCUCUUCAAUUUGAUUAAUUAUUAUCUUUAGCUUAAAUUA